AGAAGAGAGGGGGAAGCACAGGGGUCAAAAGUGAGUUGUUUUCCAGGCAGAGGAGGAAGAUCAAGAAGGCAGGAGCUAACUCCUUCCGGCAUGAUGGAUUCCUGGGAUCCCAGAACAGCUGGGCUGGAAGGGACCUCGAAAAAGGAACUACCAACACGUGCCCCGUGUCAGUCCCUGAGCUGGGCGUUUUCGUGAACAUUGUCUUAACACUCCUAACGCUGCUUCGAGAGCCUUCCCCCGAAAGACGAAGUCCUCGCCACACGGGGAGGCGGAUAUUAUAUACUCCUGGAUCGCCCGGACGUCUUUCGCCCUCACCCGCACUGAUCCCCACUGGUGACAUAAAUUCUCCCCCGCUACUAGCGAGUGAAGGCACGAGACUACAUUUCCCGGCAGGUCGUUCAGAAGGGGGUGGCGGGGAGAGAAGGAAAGAGACCCUCUGUUUCCGUCCGCUCUCAAUUUAGCGUGUCUGCC